rnacentral:rRNA from 1 species
AUUGAACGCUGGCGGCAUGCCUUACACAUGCAAGUCGAGCGGCAGCACGGGUGCUUGCACCUGGUGGCGAGUGGCGAACGGGUGAGUAAUACAUCGGAACGUACCUUAUCGUGGGGGAUAACGCAGCGAAAGCUGUGCUAAUACCGCAUACGCCCUGAGGGGGAAAGCGGGGGAUCGCAAGACCUCGCGCGAUUAGAGCGGCCGAUGCCUGAUUAGCUUGUUGGUGGGGUAAAAGCCCACCAAGGCGACGAUCAGUAGCUGGUCUGAGAGGACGAUCAGCCACACUGGGACUGAGACACGGCCCAGACUCCUACGGGAGGCAGCAGUGGGGAAUUUUGGACAAUGGGGGCAACCCUGAUCCAGCAAUGCCGCGUGAGUGAAGAAGGCCUUCGGGUUGUAAAGCUCUUUUGUUGGGGAGAAUGGUAGGCUAGGUUAAGAGCUAGGUUUAUUGAUGUUACCCAAAGAAUAAGCACCGGCUAACUCCGUGCCAGCCGCCGCUGUAA